AGCUCUCCCGCCUCCCACACCCAUCCUCCAGCCCUCGUUGGCCACGGAGGGUUCCGAGGGCUCUGAGCCAGCCAACCAGGUGGCAGGAGAGGACGUGACCAGGGAAGACAGAGAUGAGGCUCCUAUUGACCAAUCAGGGUGCGGAGGCGUGGAGGAUCAGGUGACUGAGUGUGGCCAAUUGGUGAGCCUGGAGGCGGAGACCGCUGCUGCCGAGGGGGAGGAAGAGGACUCUCUUCAGGUCAAGGGGAAAGGUUGGGGUGGAUGGGGCUCCUGGGGGAAGUCUCUACUGACCAGUGCCACGUCUACUGUGGGUAACAGUCUAACUUCAGUAAAGGAGAAGGCCGGAGCUCUGCGUCUUCACAGGACCUCAGUAGGAGAGGAGGCGCGAGAGGAGGGAGAUGAGGAGAGGAAGGAGGGAGGAGAGGAAGAGGAGGAUAGCUGUCCUCAGUCAGCCCUGGUCACUACUCCACCACC